AUUGAACGCUGGCGGCAUGCCUUACACAUGCAAGUCGAACGGUAACAGGUCUUCGGAUGCUGACGAGUGGCGAACGGGUGAGUAAUACAUCGGAACGUGCCUAGUAGUGGGGGAUAACUACUCGAAAGAGUGGCUAAUACCGCAUGAGAUCUACGGAUGAAAGCAGGGGAUCGCAAGACCUUGUGCUACUAAAGCGGCCGAUGGCAGAUUAGGUAGUUGGUGGGAUAAAAGCUUACCAAGCCGACGAUCUGUAGCUGGUCUGAGAGGACGAUCAGCCACACUGGGACUGAGACACGGCCCAGACUCCUACGGGAGGCAGCAGUGGGGAAUUUUGGACAAUGGGCGCAAGCCUGAUCCAGCAAUGCCGCGUGCAGGAUGAAGGCCUUCGGGUUGUAAACUGCUUUUGUACGGAACGAAAAGCCCUGGGUUAAUACCCUGGGGUCAUGACGGUACCGUAAGAAUAAGCACCGGCUAACUACGU
rnacentral:rRNA from 1 species